rfam:Parabacteroides goldsteinii dnLKV18 genomic scaffold acPFM-supercont1.1, whole genome shotgun sequence.
GACUCGGUAGCUCAGUUGGUAGAGCAAAUGACUCUUAAUCAUUGGGUCGAGGGUUCGAGCCCCUCCCGGGUCA